rnacentral:rRNA from 1 species
CUUUAUUGGAGAGUUUGAUCCUGGCUCAGGAUGAACGCUGGCGGCGUGCCUAAUACAUGCAAGUCGAGCGAAUGGAUUAAGAGCUUGCUCUUAUGAAGUUAGCGGCGGACGGGUGAGUAACACGUGGGUAACCUGCCCAUAAGACUGGGAUAACUCCGGGAAACCGGGGCUAAUACCGGAUAACAUUUUGAACC